GGAUCAUUCUACUUUAAUGUGGUUGGAUCAAUCUCUUUUGUUCGGUAAGAUUGCUCAUCGUUUUCAGUUCUUCAUUACAUUUUUAAAAAGCUUCUGAUUCAUAUGAACACUGAGUUGAUAGUACCUAAGAGAUUGUCCUGGUCUAUUUACAUUUUGAAGAAAAAUCUCACAAAAAGCUUCAAGUUUUGUUACAAUGAUGUGAAUCUUGAAGUUCUGUUACAACCAAAUCAUGUCAUCUCUGCUUAUUAUUAGUUCCAAGAGUUGAUUGUUUUGGGAGAUGAUUCAAAGCGCUAAUGAAGUUGAACGGUGGACUUAGGUAAUUGUUCAGAAAUAAUUUGAGUUGCCAAAUUCUUUGGUGCUUUCAUGAAAUUAGCAGUGAUAUCGACGGCAGAAAAUUCAGGACUAGCAUUGGAAGCAGUUGUCCAACAAAGGUUAGAACCGACAACUCAGAGAAUUCCAUGUCCACGUCACAUAGUUCUGCUUUCUGGUGUUCUGAUUUUUGCACAUCCACGGAUACUUGCACAAAGAGAAAGUUAAUGGUCCAAUGGUAAUGCAACGUUUUAUGAACUUGCUGAGAGGUCACUAGAUAAGCCAGUUAAUGAUGGAAUGAAAGAGCAUGUAUCAAAGGUUGUCUAAAAGCAAAAAGCAUUUGCUGCUUUACAACUUUCAAGACGAAGGAGGAACAAAAAAUAGUCUAUGGUGAAUGAAGUUAGUUAGCAAACACAAACCCCGUUCCUAUUCUUCCCAUUGAUAAAUGUCUAUUAUAAUGUACAACAUCAUAACAAAGCAGAAUAAGAGAAAUGUAAUAUGUUGUUCAUUUUAUGCUAUUCUUACAUCUACAGAUUGAAAAAUAAUUGUGCUGCUUCUAUCUCAUUCCACUUUU